GCCGCGGUCGCCUAGCCUGGCAUGGCGCCGGCCUGCUAAGCCGGUGGGGGUCUCCCGCGCGGGUUCAAAUCCCGCCCGCGGCGCCA
rnacentral:tRNA from 1 species